AUAUUUGAGAUACUUUUGUAGCUAACUAUGAAAAAUUUUGGAAAAAACAAAACCAAAAACAAACAAAGAUGGUUUUGGAAUGUACGAAUUCCAGAGGUGAGCAAUGUCUUAGAGGCAGGGAAGUGGAAGCUGAUCCUGAGCACCAAGCAUGGUCCUACGCGGAUACAUUGGGGAGUACAACAUAAAGGAACUGGAAAAACAGUUUGUGUGGGUCACCUUGGCAGCCAGCUUAACUCUAUGAAGGCGCUACUGUGAAACUUUGAGAGUGCUAUUUGAGGCAUUUACUGAUUGCCCAUGUACAACCUAACUCAAUAGUCUAUAGUUUUUAUCUCACGAUUCACCCAGUCUCUUAUAUGUAAUAGACUUCUCUGAGCAACUGGAAAGACAGCCUCUCCUCCAAUGACAACUGCCAUUGUAAGUUGCGAUGAGUAAAGACUUAGAAUGAUUUACCAUGGUGAUUUUUCCAAACACUUGGGAUUUGAUGUAUAUGUCAUUAAUAAUUGUCUUGCUUUUGGCAAAAUGGCCAUAGAAAAGUAGUAACCAUACUGAAUCUUUCAUUUUAUUUUGGUAAGUAAUAUAUUGGCUUGGAUGAGGAAAAAAAAGAAACUCUCCUAUCUUUGUUUGGAUUAUAUCUUUUGGAUCACAGGCUCACCUUUCUCCCUGGUUUAAAUAUAAGAAGCCAUCCUAUUUUUGGAAGUAGUUACUUCUUGUUCUUCACUUGAUUGUUAUAAUAUUCUUAAUGAUUUGGGAAUUAGCAUAUUUAUCUGGUUGUUUAAGUAAGUGUUCAUCAAAGUAAUAAACUCGCUUCUAGGUUUAAGUGUUUCUAUUUAAAAUUCUUUAAGAAAUUCAUCAAAUUGUGUGCGUGUGUGUGUGUGUGUGUGUGUGUGUGUAUUCAUGACACUACUCUUUAAAAAAUACCCAGAGCCCUCAACUGGCAACGAGAGAAGUGUAGAAUAGUGGAUAGGACCUGGCCCUGGAAUGCGAGAGGAAUGGAUUCUACAGGGACUCUGCCGUUUACCAGCUUUGUGAUGUUAGGCAAGUCACAUACCUGUUCUGAGCCUUGAUUUUUCUUCAAGACAAAUUAUCACCCUUUCCUGCCUCCAACUAAAUAUGGUAAUUCUCCUUUAUCUGUGAAGGAUAUGGUCCAAGACCCCCAGUGGGUGCCUGAAACUGCAGCUAGUCCUCAACCUUAUAUAUGCUAUAUCUUUUUGAUCUGAAAACAGAGAUGACAACGAAGUGAUUAAAGAGCAGGUAGUGUAUACAGCAUGGAUAUGCUGGCCAAAGGGAUGAUUCAUGUUCUGGGCAGAAUGGAGUGGGACAGCAGGAGAUUUCAUCACACUACUCAGUGCUGGGUGCAACUUAAAACUUAUGAAUUGUUUCUUUCUGGAAUUUUUCAUUUAAUAUUUUUGGACCCUGGUUGACUGUGGGUAACUAAAACCUUGGGAACUGAAACCAGGGAUAAGCGGGGAAACCAUUGUAUUUAUUGACUGCAAGGUGUGGCACAGUGCUCACACAAUUAUGGGUGCUUCUCUCACAAAGCUUAAAGCCUAAUACGGUAGGGGACAAAUGUUCUCCAGCAGUUUAAGUCACGCUCAAGGAAGGUUCAGGAUUCUAUGAGAGCCCAGGUAAGAGCAUCAAAUGAUACUAGAGGAUAUGAGAAAGCUUCCUAGAGGAGGCUGACAUUUGCACUGAAGUUUGAGUGAAGUAGAAAGAGAAGGUGGCAUGAUAUUUUUCCAAGCAGGGAGAGCAGCAUGGAUGAACACAGAGGCCUGGCACAACUUGCUGUAUCUGGCAGAACGAUGGGAGGCUCUCAGUAGGAGGUGGGAGAGAGGAUAAGCAUGGGAGAGGUGGGAUCUGGGGCUGCAGUGGUGAAGCCUCUUUUAGGCUAAGCUGGCAAUACCACUGCUGCUAAUAAUCACUACCUUUUGUAGACUGAAUUGAAAAUACAAGGUAAGCUCAUUUUUAGAUUUCAAAAAUUGAUAAAAUUAGCAUUGCAGAGUGCCUAGCUUUUUACCAAAUAGUCAUUUCUACUAUGCAUUAUACAAUUUCUCAAAUGUAAACAAGUAUUAGCCAGAUCUGCCGACUUAACUGAGAUUAAUUAACAGUAUCGAGCUGAGGGAUUAUGGAAAUGAUUAUGUCCUUUUGUGAUAUAAAAUUUUACAACUGUUCAUUUAAAUAUUCACCCAAGUGCUUUGAUAAACUGAUCCACAUCUUAGCAUAUUGUCGAGGAUAAUAAGGGUUUACUAGGUAGUAUUUAUCCUGUUUUACUUCUCUUGAGCAUAGACCUUCAGUAGAUUUUUUAUUUCUUGGCACAAUUUUAUAAGCAUUCAAAUUAAAACUAUUUUUCAUGUUUAUUGUAGUAGUAACAUAUGAAAAGUUAAACAGGAAAAUAAAAUAAAACCUUAAAUUCAAAAUUGUAAUGAGAGAGAAGUGCUGACAUUCAGUCCACCAAUAAUUACUGAAUCCAGUAACAUGUUAAGUUCAACCGUUUUUGUAAGCUUUAUUUACUUGGUUUAUUUAACCUUAUGAACUUAGGAAUAAUCAUUUACAAACUUGACAAUAAUACAGUCAGCCCUCCAUAGCUAUGGGUUCUACAUCCAUAGAUUCAACGAACUGGAUAAAAAAUAUUUCAAAAAAAUUGCAUCUGCAUUGAACAUGCAGUGAACAUUGAACUUUUUUUCUUAUUGUUAUUCCCUAAGCAAUACAAUAGGACAGCUAUUUACAUUGUAUUAGAUGUUACAAGUAAUAUAGAGAUGAUAAAGUAAGUGUACAUAGGUUUUAUGCAAAUACUAUACCAUUUUAUAUCAGGGACUUGAGCAUCUGUGGAUUUUGGUAUCCAAAGGCGAUCCUUCAGCCAAUACCCCAUAGACACCAAGAUUCAACUGUAUAGACAAAGGACAUAGGAUAUAGCAUAUAGAGAGUGUAGUUAAUAAAUCGUAUAUAGCAUUUACCGGACUUUGUGGCAAGCUCUUUCUUGACCUCACCUCCAGGGCAAAGCAGUUGGAAGAGGUGAGCCAACAGGAUUUCUGUGAGAGCAGCGGUCCCAGGAGAGGUAGAGCUGGAAGGGCUGUUAUCCAGAAGGUUGUUCAAGAACUCACGGAAUUAAGGAAGAGAGAUAAAAAAGCACGCUGGAAGUUGGAUCUGGUAUCAUGCUGACUAGGGAAGAGAGGUCGUUAACACAAGUCAGAUGCAAACCUGGUGGCUAAGUAAAAAGAAUCUAGGAGCAAAUUGCUGAGUGGGUGGAGUCAACGGAUGAAGAUCUAAAUUUGCACGUGGUCCAUAUUUUUUUUUUUUCCUGUCUCAACAGCUUGGAAAAUCAAGGCUGGACCCUUAAAGGAGCUGCACUGGGAAGGGAAGAUCUGGGGGAAAACACUUGCAAGAUUCAGUUUUUGCAGGCAAGGAGCAAAUUCUGAUAUGACAGGUAAACAGGAAAACAGUCAAAACUUCAGGAACACCCAACUAUUUACUUUUCCCCAACUCACCCUACACUCUCCACGGAGCCUUUUAAUGCUGAAUCCUCUAUCAGAAUGGCUUUCCCUACUUCAUGGAAAAGGCUUUUCAGUGUUCCCUGCUCCUUUCCUGACUGGGAAAGUAAUGAACUCUCUCUCUUUUGGAUUUCUGUAGCAGAAGUUUAUAUAAACACUAGCGGUGGAAGAUGUCCCACCUACCAAGUAUAUGUCUUUGAAGCAUGUGCAAGGUCAAGAAUUUAAAGUGUUCGGUUGUAUUUUUGACUCUACUGCUCACUUGCUGCAUAUUUUGGGCAAAUAAACCUUGGAGCCUCAGUUCCUUGUCAGUGCUGUUAUGGGAAUUUAAUAAUACAGUAGAUAUAAAAUACCAGUCAUAAUGUUAGCAAAAUUUAGGAUGUUUGGUUGGUCAAAUUCAAUGUUUGAAAUUCAUAAUAUAAAUGAACAUGAGUGUAAACUAGUUAUGCACCUUAUAAUGGAUUUUAGGAGCUACCUUGAGCUUAAGAAAGAAGUUUGAUUUCUUAAAUUAUCACACUGCCUUUUUGAUAAAUUCUUUGAUGCCACACAAGGACAAGCCAUUUUCUUCUCUUGGAAGUUUUACUAUUUUAUCACCAUUAUAACAAUAAAAUGGUGACAUUUUAAUUGUAUUCAAUAUAUAAUCCACAAAGUUAUUAAGACAAUUUCAUAAGCGUAUUUGAUUUUCUCAAUGUUGAUUUCUUGCUUCUGAUUUUCAGUUUAUCAUUGCGAUGGAUAAACAUCCUGUUUCCUUCCUUCCUUCCUUCCUUCCUUCCUUCCUUCCUCUCAUUCCUUCCAGCUCAGUUGCAUCAGAUUCCAAUGGUUCUCCAUUCAGGGCCCAAGUGAUACGUGUUGCAUGAGCUCUAUGCUUUAAAACAAUUAAGAAACAACAACAAAAAAAUCCAAGGGAAGAAAAGGCACCAUUUCUGUUGGCAAUUCUCCCACCUCCAUCUGUGCUGCCCAAAAGUGUCUGCUUUCCUGUACUUACAAGACAUUAGUCUUUUGGCACUAUCAUCCAGAGCAAAUAGUGCUGAAUGUAAUAAUAGCAAGUGAUUUGGCAUGUGCAUCAAUGUGAAAAUAGAGUUUACAAAUGCGCAGUAAUGUAUCCUGCAAGAAUACAUCAUCUUUUUAAAUGUGUUUCUUGAACAUACUUAUGUUCAGUGAGAAAAACCACAUCCAUUAUUAGAAAGGUAGAGUGUCUCUUCAUAUUUGGGGAAAAUUCUUGAUUAGAUGAUUGCUAUAUUUAGCCAUGGAAGCUAACAUCUCACUUAAGGGGAGAAUGCCCUCUGUUCAGGGAGAAAACCAAGAAUUGAAGUGUUUUAAGUUCCCUGCUUAAAAGGAGAAAUAAUUGGUAGGAAACCAAAGGAAGUGGGUAAAAGAAUCAAACAGUAACAUUCAGCUACAUUCAGAGCUUGAAACUGGAAAAUAAAAAUCAAUAGAAUAUUUAUCAUUCAUGCUUUUCUUUUUCUAAAGCAUUCCUUCUUUCCUUGACCAAGUCAGGAUACUAGCUCAGCUGAUGGAGGUCUAUGGAACCAAGCAAAGAGAUUAAUUAAUGAGGAUUGUGUGUGUGUUGCUGCUGAUGGUGGUGGGAAGGUGGGUGUUUCAGGAGAUGGAAAAUCCAAGACCAGAGGGAGAAAAAAUAAGACUAAAAAAGGCUAAAGUCUAAGAAGCCAGAAGUGUAGGCCUUUUUCUUUUUUCUCCAACCUGGAGAUUCAGGGAGAAAAGAGCAAGAAUAAAGCAGAUUGAUGGGAAACACUGACAGUGUUGAUAAUACACCCAAUGUAGAACAAGCAUUGCUAUUCACAAUUCAUUUUUAUUUGCUCCUGGGGUAUAAUAAAGAGUGAAUCAAUGGAAUUGAAAGGUCCAGGAACAUUUUGAAACUUCAUUCAUUUAGUCAUUUAUUGACUGCUUCACUAAUGACUUCAGAAUAUAAUUACUCUAUGCCUACUAUAUGCUGGGUGCAAUGCUAUGUGAUAGGAAUACUACACCUGUCUUAGCCUAUUCAGGAUUCUAUAACAGAAUAGCACAAACUUGAUGACUUAUAAACAAUAUAAAUUUACUUAUCAUAGUUCUGAAGGUGGGUAAGUCCAAAAUUAAGAUUGCUGGUAGAUUUGGUGUCUAGUGAGUGCUUACUUCUGUGUCCACAGGAAGCAAUCUUCCAGCUGUAAUUUCACAUGGCAGAAAAGGCAAGAAGCUCUCUGGGGUUUCUUUUAUAAUGGCUCUAAUUCUAUUCAUAAUUGCUUUGCCCUCAUGACCUAAUCGCUGCUCAGAGUCUCCACAUCCAAACACUAUUACUUUGGGAAUUAAGUUUCACUAUAUAAAUUUUGGGUGAAUACAAACAUUCAGUCUAUAGCACUGCCUUUAUAGAGAGACAGAUAUAUAUAAAUAAAUGUCAGACAUUAAUAAAAACACCAAAAAUGCUAUGAAGAUUAUGAGAAGGUUUAUCAUGAGAUACUUUAACUGACUUUUGAAGGAUAAAUGAGAGUUUCCUAAGCUAAAAAAAAAGUGAGCCCAAAGUUUUUAUCCAAUCUCAUAGCUCUGUGAGAUUGCAUUCAUCCCUUCUUCUUUAU